GUGCUACGAUGUUGAGGUGCCGCUGUUUCUGGGGAAGUGCUACGAUGUUGAGGUGCCGCUGUUUCUAGGGCAGUGCUACGAUGUUGAGGUGCCGCUGUUUCUGGGGAAGUGCUACGAUGUUGAGGUGCCGCUGUUUCCGGGGAAGUGCUACGAUGUUGAGGUGCCGCUGUUUCUGGGGCAGUGCUACGAUGUUGAGGUGCCGCUGUUUCCGGGGAAGUGCUACGAUGUUGAGGUGCCGCUGUUUCUGGGGCAGUGCUACGAUGUUGAGGUGCCGCUGUUUCCGGGGAAGUGCUACGAUGUUGAGGUGCCG